UACGUAGGGGGCAAGCGUUGUCCGGAUUUAUUGGGCGUAAAGAGCGUGUAGGCGGUUAGGUAGGUCCGUUGUGAAAACUCGAGGCUCAACCUCGAGACGCCGAUGGAAACCAUCUGACUAGAGUCCGGAAGAGGAGAGUGGAAUUCCUGGUGUAGCGGUGAAAUGCGCAGAUAUCAGGAGGAACACCGAUUGCGAAGGCAGCUCGCUGGGACGUUACUGACGCUGAGACGCGAAAGCGUGGGGAGCAAACAGG
rnacentral:rRNA from 1 species